UACGGAGGGUGCGAGCGUUGUCCGGAAUCACUGGGCGUAAAGGGCGCGUAGGCGGCUUCUCAAGCGUGUGGUGAAAGUCCGGGGCUCAACCCCGGAUCGGCCGUGCGGACUGGGGAGCUCGAGUUCUGUAGAGGCGGGUGGAAUUCCAGGUGUAGCGGUGGAAUGCGUAGAGAUCCGGAAGAACACCGGUGGCGAAGGCGGCCCGCUGGGCAGAGACUGACGCUGAGGCGCGACAGCGUGGGGAGCAAACAGG
rnacentral:rRNA from 1 species